rfam:Stegodyphus mimosarum contig37141, whole genome shotgun sequence.
GCCUUCAUGGUGUAAUGGUCAGCACACUGAGCCGGUAUUUCAGAGGUCCGUGGUUCGAUCCCCGGCGAAGGCA